CUUCGUUCUCCCGUUCCCGAUCGCUUCGUUCUCCCGUUCCCGAUCGCAGGUAGCAUUUGCUGCUCUUCUCCAGUUGACCUACACAUAUUCAGAUAUUAUCAUGGCAGAGCAGCAGGCUGUGGCACCCCGUGGCCACAAAGUCCUUACCGUUGUCGGGGACUCGU